UAAAGAUUUCCUGGCUCAUCUUUUUAUGGUGUUUGACACUCUGGUGACUGCUUCUAUCUUUAGGGUGGAGAAAAAGCCUUUUGUGAGGAAGACAAUGCAUCAGAGUUGUGGCCACUAUUACCAACUGUGUCCUUCAG